rnacentral:rRNA from 1 species
UGGGGAAUUUUGGACAAUGGGGGCAACCCUGAUCCAGCCAUGCCGCGUGUGUGAAGAAGGCCUUCGGGUUGUAAAGCACUUUCGGACGGAACGAAAUCGCGCGAUCUAAUAAGUCGCGUGGAUGACGGUACCGUAAGAAGAAGCACCGGCUAACUACGUGCCAGCAGCCGCGGUAAUACGUAGGGUGCGAGCGUUAAUCGGAAUUACUGGGCGUAAAGUGUGCGCAGGUGGCUGAGCAAGUCGAGUGUGAAAUCCCCGGGCUUAACUUGGGAAUUGCGCUCGAAACUACUUGGCUCGAGUGUGGCAGAGGAAGGUGGAAUUCCAGGUGUAGCGGUGAAAUGCGUAGAGAUCUGGAGGAACACCGAUGGCGAAGGCAGCCUUCUGGGCCAACACUGACGCUCAUGCACGAAAGCGUGGGGAGCAAACAGGAUUAGAUACCCUGGUAGUCCACGCCCUAAACGAUGAUGACUAGUUGUUGGGGAGUUAAAUCCCUUAGUAACG